UCCUCAGACUUUUUUUUCUUCAGGUUUCCUCCCCUGUGACUGGUGAACUCACCAGGGAGUGCAUUACCAAGUAAAUCUGCCUUUUUAAAACUUGGCUUAAUUGUUUUAUUUCUUUAGCAGUGAAAACGUGUCUUGAACCAGCACUAUUCCUCAAAAGACCACCUGAAAUCAUGGAAAAUAAGGACUUUUACAGGUAAAGACAGGAUGCCACCACUAAGGAUGUGAUUAUAACACUGUCUUGUAAGAAUGGAUCCCAAGUGUUCAUCUAUCAAAAGAAGGGAGAACAAAAUACUCGUGGGAGGAAAUACAGGGAUGAAUAAUGGAGCAGAGACUGAAGUAAGGGCACCCAGAAACUGCCCCACUUGGAUAUCCAUUUCAUAUGCUGCCACCAAACCCAUUCUCUGUUGCUGACACCAAGAAUUGCUUGCUGACCAGAAAUAGGUGUCUCCUGAGAGGCUCUACCAGAGCCCUGCUGAUACAGAUGCGUAUGUUUGCAGCUAACCAUUGGACUGAAGAAAGGGACCCCAAAGGAGGACUUAAAGAAACGCCUGAAAAGGCUUUGCAAUAUCAUAGUAACAACAACAAUAUCAACUAACCAAACCCCACCAGAGCUCCCAGGGACUAAACCACCAACCAUAAAGGGAACCAUGGCUCAGCUACAUAUAUAGAAUAGGAUGGCAUUGUCCAUCAUCAACAGGAGUAAAAGUCCUUGGGAAGGCUUGUUUACACUAUGUAGGGUAAUGUCAGGAAGGUGACAUUGGUGUGAGUGGGUGAGAAUUGAAGAAUCUACAUAGAAGCAGGGGGAUGUGGGAUGGGGCAUGAGAGGAGGAAAGAGGAUAACAUUUGAAAUGUAAAUACAUAAAAUAUCCAAGAAUGAUAAAAUUAAAAAGACUUAAAGAAUAAGAAAAUAAAUACUUUGUGAUAUAGAUGAGGCAUGGCAAAUAUUGUACACAAAAGUUUUCUAGAAGUGCUAUAGAGAUGUUUCAGAAGUUAAAUAUUGCUGCUCUUCCAUAGACAAUAUAAGAAUGACUUAUUUGCUCACAUUUAUAAUUUUCCUGCUUCAUAAACCUUCUAAUAUUUUUCUGAGACCUUAGUAGCAAAUGACCAUUAUUUCUAUAUUUUAAAUUUGUGUCUGCAGGUUAGAUUCUACAAUAUCUUUUAAUUUUGUCCUAUAUCCAAAAUUGUUUCUCAGCACCACCAUGGUGUUAAACAACAAAACUUAAAACCCAGUUCUUUAAAUUACAAUGCUCUCUUCUGAACUUUACCGGUAGAAGGAAUACACCACACAAAUGCCUACAUUCAAGAAAUAUACCAGCAUAUAUCUAAAAAAUGAAAUUUAACUUUAAUAAAAGAUGCUUCUAAAGACUUAGAUAGGUAGAUGCACUUUAUAAAUAAACUGAAUAUGAAAUAAAUGUAUUUGCAGUGUUUUAUUUUUGAAAUUUUAAAAUGUUUUUAGAGACUGUUACAUAAACAAAUAUGCAACUAGAGCUAAGCUUGAUAAUCUGUUAGUUCUAUUGUCUAUAUGCCCAUAGUGAAAGAACAAAACUAAUUCACACAAAUUGUCCUCCGACCUCCGCAUAUAUACUGAAACAUACAUACUUUUACAUGUAUAAGUAAACACGCACACAAACACAUAUUCAGGAAAGAGGACAGAGGAACAAAAUCAUUCAAAUAUGUGUCUGUAUUAGUAAAUGUCUUCUUCAUUGAUUAUCACAGCUGUCAUGUCAAUAUUUUUUUUCCAUUUAGCUAAAUGUUUCUUUGCCUAAUUAGCUUUUAUGAUACCAUACUUAUAAAGAUUUCUUUCAAGAAAAAGUCAUGCUAAGAAAAUUACAUUAAUAUGAGUAGAUAUAUUUGUCUCACUAACCCUGUUUUUUUUCUUUUAUUGAAAAUUCAGGAUUUUUUGUAACUUUUCAAAUUAAUGCCCAAAAAUAAUUUUAUAUAGGAUGAAAAAAACAGUUCAUGAAUUUGAAAGAGAAAGAGGAGUGUAUUUGUUGGUUUGGAGGAAUAAAAUGGAGUGAGCGGGUUGUGUAUUUAUACUAUCAUCUCAAAAAAUAAAAUAUAUAAUAAAAAUGGAAUCAAAAGCAAGAGAAAAGAAAAAUAUUUAUGCAGUUUUCUCUAUGUGGCAAUUGGAAACUAAGUUCUUUUGGCAGUAUGUUACUUAAUCUCAUCUGGUGUCUAAGGACUGUAAAUGCUUCUGUUUCUUGGGUAAGACAAGUGGGAACCUGUCCCGCGCGCGACUUUUCGCCGGCAAGGAGCACGCGGACAUUAGAAAUCCUUGCUGUGACCACUUUAUUAAUCUUAGAAGAGGAAAAGCCACGCCGCGCCAACAUGGUGCGCUUAUAAAACCCUCGUGCAGCGCACCCACACCUGAUUGGUUGUUACCCAUGAUCUCAUAAGGCACGCCCCGGAGUAGGCAAAGACCUGGUACGAAGGCACUCUUGCAUAUGCGCACAGUUAACUACCUGAAAGGGGGGGCCGGCUGGCGCGGUGAAGGUUGGUGCCAUCUUGUAAUGGCGGAGUCUAUCCUGACCUACCACGUGGGGCGCAGUGGAAGACAGCGCCAUCUAGUGGUGGUGAACGUAUUGUGGCCCUCUACAUCUCACCCUUAUAAUUUAUAUAAUUUUAUAGCAGAAAUGAUCACCCUAUCGCAUGCAAUGAGGAAACCUCAGCGAUGUGCAAGGGCUGAUCAAAGGAACACUGAGUCUCUCUCAAUCCCAGUGCAAUGGAUCCACAGAUCCAUGGGGUGCAGGAGCAGAGAACUCAGAUACAGAGAGUAUCCCUCUCCUCCCAGUGCAAUGGACCCACAGAUCCAUGGGGUGCAGGAGCAGGGAACUCAGAUACAGAGUAAAUCCUGAACAAGAUAACCAAAUUCCAGGUGAGGCCCUUUGUACAAUGGCCACAAGAGCUUGAGUGAUAACGGCCUUGUCACGUUACUGUUGAGAUCUGAGUUUGUAAACCAACCAUGGUUUGAAUACUGAUCCACAGCAUAGGGCUGCAUCAAACAGAGCCACUCCCGAUAAGUAGUGGGCACCUCAUAUGGUCCUCUUCAGCUGUUACCACCAAGGACCGUGGUCAAGCUGCUCUUAUAAUAAAAUUUUGAAUUCCCAAUUGUUAGUAACUACUCCAGAAAGUUCACCCACUGUACUUGUCUAACAAUAGAUUGGGGGAGAAUAACUCCAGACACUGCAGACACAAUGUCUGCAGCAGUAAUGGCUGCUACAAUAGCAGCGAAAGUGUCAAGGUCUUUUCCAGGACAGUUCAGGAUCAGUCAUUCUUCUCUGGAACAACCAGCAAACAAUGGAACCAUUUCUGAGAUCUGUAUAACCAGGACAGAGUUCUCCAGUCACUGUAGCUUUACACAGGUGGCUUUCUGUGAAGCUACAGUCUGUAAAAUGACAACACCAGUUACCAGUUAAGGCAGCAAGAGUCACCAGGGAAAUGAAAGGACAGGGGUAACAGCUGGAGUCCAGUCUUCUCCAGGAAGCAGCAGUGUACAGAGUCUGAGUGUAGGCCACAAUGGGACGGGAACACACACAGCGGUAACACUGACUGCAGCAACGGCAAAAUCUCUGUGAUGACAAAGGAUGAAGGGGCAUCUUCUAUCUUCCUCUCAGGGCAGAGGAAUGACUCCAGGGACCCGAACCACGAGAGCUGAAUCUUCAUGCUCCCAGGAUCAGCAUGUCUCACCAGACACUCAGGCAGCUGGCACACUCCUGCAGCAUCCUGUAGAAAAAAAACAAACAUUCCCUCUUCCCCAUAUAAAAUAUCUGGACAGGAACAUGUCAAUAAGUGGAUCUCUCUAUUUCACCUAGGCAGGAGUAUGCCUAGUUGUAGGGUGCCAUAAACUUUGGCAUCCAUAAUUUUAAAAUUGAAAUAAAAGGAGCAUUAUUUAGCAUACAGGGAUAACUCCCCCUUUUUAUUUAUUAAGAUAUAGUAAAGAUAUUAUUUAUUAAGGUAAGUCCUCGAGGAUUAAGUUGAGGACACUGAGCACUUGUAUUUAUAAAUUGACUUGUAUACCAAAUUAUUGUCUCUAGCAUAAUUGUAUUGAAUAUAUAAAGAAUGAGAUUUUUUUUUCACUAAUUGUUCUUAUGUAAGGCCUAUAAUCUCUCUGGAAUCUUGUCCUCCCUUGUUAAGGAGCCCAGGCAAUCCAGUUUGAGUUUUUAAAUGUCCUAUAAAGGAACAGUAUAUAGUGCUCUUAACCACUAAGCCUUUUUUCUAGCACCUCACAAACUUUAUUUACCUAAACAUAAGCAUUAAUUAGAAAUGUCAAAUCUUGUAAAUAUUGUCCAGAUUCAGUCUUACUAGAAAUCUCUGAGCUGGCAGGGUGAGGCUGGGAGUUGAAAGUAAACAAAUGGAGUCUUCCUCUUUUCGUGAGGGUGUGUUAUCAACUCCAUUACCAUUUUCAAAGAGCUGGGUCUAUGGUUUUGUUUGGUUGUCUGAGCCAGAGCACUGAAAGGACAGUGAGUUGUCAGACAAUUCACACUGAAAUCACUCUGAUUUUAAGUAGAAAACCUGCCUCUAAUAUAGCAUUAAGUAAUUGUAUAAUUUGAGGGCUAGUAGUAUCUAAAAAGGGAAACUUUUUAAUCAACUGUAAACCAUAAGCCAUACAUUGGCUAUCAGUAUAUGACUUAAAAGCUUGUUUUUUUUUUUUUUUUAAACAGUGGCUACAGCACGUAAUUUAAUAAUCUGUGCUAAAGCAGGGGAAACUGAAGAGAAUAAACAAGUGAUCCAAUCAUAUGUAGCCUUUUCAUUAGAUGAACCACCUAUAAAUAUAGUAAGCUCAUUUCCUAUGGGUUGCAUGCACAAAUUUAUAGGAACUACAAAAGCAUGCAAAGAGUAAAAUUAUCAAUUUUGUCUGAGAUUUGUAUAUGUGAUAGGCCAAAUAUCAGUAUUUUGUAAUAACCAAUUUAAUUGUUGUUGAAUAAGAUAUGUUUUACCAGGUUUCUUUUUUAAAAUACUUCCAUGACUCUAGUCUAUAAUUCUGUAUUAACACAACUGAAGCUUUAUCUCCAAUGAGGAUAACAAAG